CUUCCAUUGUAGAAUCUGUUUUUUGGGAAAUCUGAUUGAAUGAAUCAAUCCAUUCAGUUUUUUCCAUAUAUUGCUUAAAGUAAAGUAAUUCGGGAGUUUUUAAUUGGAGAGACUCUCCUUCUUCUACUAUAGCCAAACAUUCCUCGUAAGACAAACUUCUUUCCUUCAUAGCGUUAGCUUUUUCUCUGAAAAUCUUCAAACUUUCAGCUUUCUCAAAGGCAACAGCCAUUUCCGGGAAAUCAAAUGUAAACUGCUCGGCCUCUUCUACCAAAUUUAUCAACAAGUCUGCUUCAUUAAUGUUAGAAGAAUUUAAAUCUUCCACUUCCUCCGAAGGACUUUCUAGAUGCGAAUGUGUAGCAGAACCCCGCUUUGGCUU